CCCACAUGAGGAGAUAAGGCCGGCCGGCUCCCUCUUCUCCACUUCUCUAUCUCUUCCACUUCUUCUCUCUAUCUCUCCUCUCUUUCUCUGUGCCGUGGCGAGGGGAGGCGCGGCGGCGCCGAGCCAGCGGGGACGGCGGCGGCGGCCCGGCCGCCAGAUUCGGCAGGGGCGGGAGGGGAGGCGCGGCGGCGCCGAGCCGGCGAGGGCGGCGGCGGCGGCCCGGCCGCCAGAUCCGGCAGGGGCGGGUGGGGAGGCGCGGCGGCGGUCCGGCCGCCAGAUCCGGCAGGGGCGAGGGGAGGCGCGGUGGCGGACGACGGAUCUGGAGCCGUGGCGCGGUGGCGGCCGACGGUGGGAGGGGAGGCGGCCGAGGCCCGACGGCGGCAGCGGUCUCCACCUCCGCCGCCUCUACCGGUGACGCCUCCAGCCGCGCCUCCGCCUCCGCCCUCUGCCAGCAAGUUCUCUUUCACCCAUGUAUUUUGUCUUGUGUUGUUCAUAUUGUUCCAAUUGUUGCUACUGUGAUUGAUGAUUCUGAGUCCUAUGGUGAUUGAGAUUCUUGUGAUUUUGUUUUGUGAUUGGGACAACUGCGAUGAAACAAAGAAGAAUUGUGACAAUUUUUUUGAUUUGUGAAUGCCAAAUGCAAUCGGUCUAAAUGAAUGUGAUGGUAACCUAUGAGGACGGUGUUUCUCUUUUUUUUUCCCUUUUUUUCACACCAGUGACGGCCCCAAUUAGUUAGGCCAUUUGAGGUGACUCUCACCUGUGACGGGUUUUGGUUGGGACCAGUCAGAGGUAACUCUCACCUGUGACGGGUUUUAGUUGGGGGCCGUUUGAGGUGGCUCUUACUUCUGACGGGUCUUCACUCGUCACAGGUGACUCAAGUCAUCAGUGACCACUAAUCUCUGACAGGGAGCUGAACCCGUCAAAGUUGAGGGUUUGAGCCCGUCAGUGCUGACCUGAUCCAGUGUAGUGCGUGGCCAUGGCCAACUUGGCCAUAGAUGGUUUAGGCAUAGGUAAGGUGGUGGAAGGAGCAUGGUGCGUUGCCGGCCGGAGGAGGGCCCAUCACGGCUGCGGGCUUGCGCUGUGGCCAGGGUGGCCGACCGCCCGUCCGUCCGUCG
rnacentral:lncRNA from 1 species